rnacentral:rRNA from 1 species
UGGGGAAUCUUGGGCAAUGGGCGAAAGCCUGACCCAGCGACGCCGCGUGGGGGAAGAAGGCCUUCGGGUCGUAAACCCCUGUUCUGGGGGAAGAACCCUGAGUGGGUUAAGAGCCUACUCAGGCUGACGGUACCCCAGGAGAAAGCCACGGCUAACUGCGUGCCAGCAGCCGCGGUAAUACGCAGGUGGCGAGCGUUGCCCGGAAUCACUGGGCGUAAAGGGUGCGUAGGCGGCAGGGUAAGUCGCAGGUUAAAGCCCGGGGCUCAACCCCGGAAAGGCCUGCGAUACUGCCUUGCUUGAGGGCCGGAGAGGCUGGCGGAAUUCCCGGUGUAGGGGUGAAAUCCGUAGAUAUCGGGAGGAACACCGGUGGGGAAGCCGGCCAGCUGGACGGUCCCUGACGCUGAGGCACGAAAGCGUGGGGAGCAAACCGGAUUAGAUACCCGGGUAGUCCACGCCGUAAACGAUGGGUGCUAGGUCUGGGGAGGAAACUCUCUGGGCCGAAGCUAACGCGUUAAGCACCCCGCCUGGGGA